rnacentral:rRNA from 1 species
GACGUAGGGGGCCAGCGUUGCUCGGAAUUACUGGGCGUAAAGGGUUCGUAGGCGGUGCGGUAAGUCGGAAGUGAAAUCUCCAGGCUCAACUUGGAGGCUGCUCCCGAAACUGCCGUGCUAGAGUACGGGAGAGGCGAGUGGAAUUGCAGGUGUAGCGGUGAAAUGCGUAGAUAUCUGCAGGAACACCCGUGGCGAAGGCGGCUCGCUGGACCGUAACUGACGCUGAGGCGCGAAAGGUAGGGGAGCAAACAGG